GCGGCCCGGGACUGGGGUCGCCUCGGGGAGCCCCAGCGACCCCGGGACGCGCGGGGCACCGUCCCCGCAGCCGGGCGCGGCCCGACUCCGCGGCGCGACCAAACUUUCCGCGCUGCCCCCGCCCCCACGCGGCCGGGGCGCGUCUCCCCGCGGAGCCCGGCCCGGCACGUGACGGCCAGGCACAAAAAUAAACGCGGCCGGGACCCGGGGGCCGCGGGGACACCCCACUCCGCGAGCGCUCGCGCCCCCCGCCCGAGCGGGCCUGCCUCCGGGCCGCAGCGCCCGGCCGGCGCCUACCUCUCGGACUUGGUGAACUUGCGGAACGCCUGCCGCAGGUCGUGGAAGGAGCGGUAGGUCUGGGGCUCGGCCGAGAUGCCCUGCGCCCGGGUGGUGCGCGGCCCGAUGUGCGGCGAGGGCGCGGGCAGCACCGACUGGCACUUGUGCAGCUUCCGCUUCAGCUCCUGGAUCUCCUCCUCCUUCUCCGACAGCCGCUUCUCCAGCUCCCUGAUGCGCUCCUCCUUGAGCAUGAGGAUCUGGGCGAAGUCCUCCUGCAGCUCGCUCAUCUUCCCGCCGAGCCCCUCCGCCCAAGUUUGCGCGGGCCGGGGCGGCGGGCGGGCGGGCGCGGGGGGCGAGCGCGGCGGGCGCGGACCCCGGAGCCGGGCGGGCUGCGAGCCCCUAGCGCCGAGCGGCCGGGGAGCGAGCGCCCAGGGCAGGGACGGGACGUCUGAGCGCGGAGCGGCGGCGAGGCCGAGCGCUAAUCCCCAGGCUCUCGGGGGAAUAGGUGAUUAUCUUUCAUUGAGAAACCAAUUAGAGCUGCCCGGCCUCCCCCGGGACCCCCGCCCCCGGGCGCUCCGUGAGAACCCCGCGCGCGCCGCCCGCCGAGAGCCGGGUGGACCAGACAGCCGGCCGUCACCCCAUCGCCCAGCGAGCGCUCCCACACGCUAUAUGGUACCAAAGGGAAGGGGCGGGGUGGGGGGAGCUCGAUGCCACUCGGUCCUCGAAAUAGCAACAAUCACCAUGUGAUCUGGCAGAUGACGCAGCGCUUGUAACCGGAGCCUAAAGACUUUGUGGGGUGUGUGUGUGUGUGUGUGUGUGUGUGUGCGCGCGAGAGGGUGAGAGGGUUCAUGAACACCGCGCCGCCUUCACCCGGCAGCCGCCUUAAUUCACCUUGCUUUUCACUGUCCGCUUCUCUUCUGCUCUGGAUCAGGACUAUAAGGAAGGCAGGUGGAAAUCUAGGUGCUGAGAGUGAGCGUGACCACGGACACACAACCAGCAAGGAAAUGGGGACCUCAGUCUUACCGUGGCAGAAAACAGUCCUGUCCCAGCCAUGACAGCUUGGAAGAUGACCCUGAGGCCCAGAGGAGAGUGUAGGCUAGUUGGCAUGUUGGCCUCAGCCUUAUGAGACCUUGAGCAGGGAAUCCAGCCAAGCCACGCCCAGACUUCUCACCUCCAGAACAGUAAGAUAAGAGAGAGACAGAGCGAGCAAGCAGGGAAGGGGCAGAGAGAGACAGAGAAUCCCAAGCAACCUCUGCACUGUCUGCAAGGAGCCCGAUGUGGGGCUCGAUCUCACUAUACCGUGAGAUCAUGACCUGAGCCGAAACCAGGAGUCAGACACUUAACCGACGGAGCCACCCAGGGGCCCCUACUUCAAGCAUGUUUUACCAAAAGUGUUCUGAAAGUCAGAAAAUAGAUAUACACGAUAUAGAAUUCAGAAAACACAAAAGGAUGUUGGGGUGCCCCAGCCACCCUGACCCCCUGUAUGGUGACACCCAUUCGUGAUUGCCAUUCUCUUGUGUAUGCCUCACUAUUGUAUUCUCAUGUAAGUAAGCAUAGCUAUACAUAAAUACCUAUUUUUACACACAUUUGACACCGAAGUGUUAAUAUCUGCUCUGUAUGUUAGCUUAUUGCCUAGCUUAGUGCUAUAAUUUCCCGACUUUGAGAACACUAGGAGACGUUGUCCCAUUGUGUGACAAAAUCCUGGGUGACAGGAGUUCCUCCAGUAACUUCAGGGAGUGUGCCCUUCCUUCGUGCAGACAUUAUUUAUACUUCUUCUUAACCUUAAAGAUAUUGGGCAUCUUUAUUAAAUAUUCUUACUGAAAACUUCACAAUGGUCUGAUGCUUUCAGAGAACAAGGCAGGCAUUCUUACCUACAUACAUCUUUAAAGGAUGUGAUAAAAUUAGCACCUGCUCUUUGUUGAUGGAGACACGCAUCUGGGCUCAUCCCAGGUUGUUCCGAAUUAAUGAUCCUCAUGUACAAAAAAGCUAAGAAGCCAUCACUAGGGAUAAGGAGCACUGUAUUUUGACAGCCUCUGAGCCUUUAUAAAUAACACGUUUUGGUUUUUUUUGUUUUUGUUUUUGUUUCUUUUUGGUCUCCAAUCAAAACUGCAUAGUUAGCUGAAGAGAAUCCAUUUACUAGUUCUGGUCCCAUGAGGACACAUUUAUUUGGAAAUUAUUUUCUCAACCUAUGUGGUCAUUUAUUAUAAAAAUAUAAUUUGUUUUUAUACCUGGGGGGGGGGGGAAUAGUUGCAUGGAACCUACUGUAUUCCGGGACAUAUUCAAACUCUCAUAUUUACAGCUGACACUCCCCAGAGCCGUGUUCGUUAGAUCUUCUCCACCCGUGCUGCAGAGGGCAACAAUUUAGAAGGCCUAGCAAAGCGGGAGAGUGCAAGAAACAGCUCCAAAGUCUCCCAGAUUAAUCUGAAGUAAUGGCUUUCGUUACAAUGAAACAACUUUGCAUCGAAACACGCUUUGGCUGAGCAGAUGUCUGCCCCUCCCCGCAGGGUGGCUUUUCAGCACCCAUCGUUCGCAGGGAGCAGAGAGGUGGCAGGAAGACAGAGGAUAUUGAACUAAGAAGACACGAUACCCACAGCCCUUCAUUCAAGACUUCAUCCGCUAAAGGGAGAUCACUUUACAGAGUGCAGGCGGGCAGACGUUACUCAGACUGUGGCUAAAAUCAUCAGCAAGAAACCCUGCCAGGAAUGCCUCAGUGUAACAUGAGGUGGUGCUGGAGUGUGUGCGUGCGUGUGUGUGUGUGUGUGUGUGUGUGUGUAUUUCAGUCACGGCCCUUUUCUUCUAAAUCAUCUUCUCUAGCUGGGGUCGGUCAGUAAACGCAAGCUCUUCCUUAAAAACUGCCUCCACUCAGGACAUUUGGAUAGUUCCACGUUAAGAGCAGGCAUGGAGUGAUUUUCAGGACAGACGGGAAAUGCCACAAGUUGUUGGGGAUCAGCCUCCAGUGUGUUGUCAUCAAUCAGGAGUGUCCACUCCCUCCCCUCCACAGCCAAACCGAUUUACCUUUGGCACAAAUGUCAAGUUAGCAUUCUAGGAAAGGCACGGGAGAAAGGCCAUUGACGUCAGGAAUCAUUUUAUUAAGAGACGAACCAUGACUCCUGCAUUGUUCCUUUGAAAGGGAAACAAAGAAACCAAAAAAGCAAUGCCUGCAUUUACCUGAACGGAUGUACUUGGCUUCAUUCAUUCAAGUAUUUUUGCUCACUUUUCUGCAGGUCCCAGGCAUGCCACUGGAUGACUGGGGACACACAGAGACAGGUAGGACACAGUGUCCACCCUCCAGAAACGGACGAACGUGUGGAAGCAGCCGAGAGGUGGACACACAUACGUAAAUGACUAUCGCAAAGCUGUAGUGAAAAAUGAGGUUAUCCCGGUGCAAAGGAAGGGGCGGGGGAAACACUGGAUCCUUGAGUGUGUGUGAAUGUGAGUGUGAGAGAGAGGCAGAGAUGUAGUGCCCACCAGAGAGCAAGAAUCACCACAUCACCGAUUGAUACGUGCCCACUUUGUUGAAAUCGAAGGAUUAACUUGGUAAACAAAUGAACGAGGUAGUUGAAUUUCCAGUGUGGGAGACAGAAGGCCACACGCUUCCUGGAAAGUCUACGUGGAGAGACUAGGGCCGUGUGGAGGCCCCUCCAAGGACUGUGAAUUUUAUCCUAGGAGGCACUGAGGAUUUAAUAAAAUGCCAUAACCAGGGAAAUUGUACAGUAAGUGACAUAUGGAAAGUUCCAAAGUGAUAUUUGAAAACAACCAACUAUAUGUGUAGCACCCAUAAAGUGAUACUACAGUGUCCCCGCGGGAUUUUAUGUUCGUUCAAUUCUGCAAAGACUGCUUUUUCCUUGUGAGUGUGCAAAUCCAUUCACCAGGAAAAUUGGGUUAAGAUAAUCAGAUUACAGAAAUACCGUUCCCGGACAGAGCGACCCUUGUGGUUCUGAACACGUGUGUUUGUUUAACAGCUCACACCAUACAUUCGAGCUAUCGUUCUAUUUGUGGGAGAACGGAGUCCAUUUAUCGCUUAGAAAAAUUAAAUCAUGUUCCCAAUAAAGACAAAAUUAAUAAGUAGCAAAAUUAAUUAAUAUACAGGGUAGUGGGAAAUGCUUAUUAGCUUGUAGCAUGCGAGAGGGCAGUUUUUCAGAUGCUACUACUCAGGGGGCUGUGUGUGUAGGAAAGGAGGGAAAAGGGGGGGUGGCUAUCAGCAUGAGCAAGGAGAAAACAUUUUAUUGAUGCGUCAUCUUUAACAGUAAAAAUUGAUGAUGCUAUACUCAGAAAAUGAAGAGUAGUGUGUUUGGGGCGCCUGGGCAGCUCGGUGCGUUGAGUGUCCUACUUUGGCUCAGGUUAUGAUAUCAUAGUUCAUGGGUUUGAACCCCACGUCAGGCUCUUGGCUGUCAGCACAGAGCCCACUUUGGAUCCUGUCUCCCUCUCUCUUUCUGCCCCUCCCCCAUUUGUGCACGUGUGUGUGUGUGUGUGUGUGUGUGCUCUCUCUCUCAAAAAUAAAAAAAAGAGUAGUGUGAUUAAUCAAAAUUCCCUGAAUACUAUGCUAUAUCUCACCAGAUAGACUUAUCUGUACAUUCAAUGCAAUUCCAACAAUUUUCAGGGUAAAAGUUGAUGAGUUGAUCUUAAAAUUCAUAUGAAACAAAUAUUUCAAGAUUUAAAAUAACGAAAACACAACAAAAACUAUGGUCCUGGACUGUCAACCCUCAAGUGUACUGUAAGGCUAUAAUAAUUAAACCAAUGUGAUCAUUUCCUUUUUAAAAAUGGGCCAAGGAAAACACAUAGUUUAGAAGCCAAUCCUUAUCUAUGUGGAAAUGUAAUUUAUUAUAAAAGUAGCAUUUCAAAUUAUUGGAGAACUAAUGUUCACAAAUCAGAAGAAAAUUUAUGUAAUACAGAUUUUAAAUAUAUUGUAUAUGUUUAUUCAAAUAUAACAUAUGUAUAUGAUGUUUUCCCCACUUUUCAAUAUGCUGAAAUAUACAUAACAUCAAGUUUACUGUGUAACCAUUUCUCAAUGUAUAGCUUGGUGACAUUAAGUCCACUCACGUUGUUGUGCGAAAAUCCCACCAUCCCUCUCUACUACUUUUCCAUAACUGAAACUCUGUCCCCAUUAUACAGGAGCUGACUUCUCCCCUCCCCCAGCCCCUGGGAACCCCCAUCCUCCUUUCUGUAUAUAUGCCUUUGACUUCUCUGGGUACGUCGUUUAAGAGCAAUUCUACAGUAUUUGUCCUGUGACUGGCUUAUUUCACUUUGCGUAGUGUCCUCAAGUUUCCAUGCCGUAGCAUGUAUCACAACUUUCUUCCUUAAGGCUGAAUCAUAUUCCAUUGUGUGUAUAUAAUCACAUUUUGUUUAUGCAUGCAUCUGUCGAUGGAUACUCAGGUGGCUUCUCUCUUUUGGCUCUUGUAAGACCACUGUGCUUAUUGGUGCACAAAUAUGUAUUUGAGUCUCUGCUUUCAAUUCUUUGGGGUACAGAACCAGCAGGGAACUUGCUGGGUGAUAUAGUCAUCCUCUGUUUCAUCACAGAGAAUGUUUUGUAAACAUAUAAAACAGAGCUGGGAUCCAUAACAUGCAAGGACUCCCUAAAGGUCAAUAGAAAUACCAAAAUUCCAACACAAAAUGACAAAAACAAAGACAUUCAUCUUUGCUAAUGAAAUUCACUUUUGCCUAUCAAAUUGGCCAAACUUAAGAGAUUGGUAAUACUCCUUCAUGUCAAUGUUGUCCUAAGUGGGCUCUCCUAAAUACAAGUAGGUGCGUAAGUUGUUCAUCUUUUGUAGCGAGCAAUUUAACGGUAGCCACCAAAAUCGUAAGAAUACAUUUGCUUUUACUCAGCCGUCCUACCUGUAAAAAUUAAGCUUAUAACAUGAUUCAUGUUUAUAUACAAAGAUUGCUGGUGGGAGGGACGGGUAGUGAGAAGAGCGCCUGGGUGGCUCAGUCAGUUGAGCAUCCGACUUUGCUUUCGGCUCAGGUCAUGAUCUGGAGGUUCGUGGGUUCCAGCCCCGAGUCUGACAGUGCAGAGCCUGCUUGGGAUUCUCUCUCUGUCCCU